CAAUAGCGUAUAUUUAAGUUGUUGCAGUUAAAAAGCUCGUAGUUGGAUUUCGGGUGGGACGCAGCGGUCUCGCAUUGCGUUUGUACUGCUGCAGCCCUCCUUCUUGCCGGGGGCGGCCUCUCGGACUUCACUGUCUGGGGGUCAGAAUCGGCGAUGUUACUUUGAGUAAAUUAGAGUGUUCAAAGCAAGCUUACGCUCUGAAUAUAAUAGCAUGGGAUAACACGACAGGACUCUGGCCUAUCGUGUUGGUCUAUAGGGCCAGAGUAAUGAUUAAGAGGGACAGUCGGGGGCAUUCGUAUUCCGUUGUCAGAGGUGAAAUUCUUGGAUUUACGGAAGACGAACAUCUGCGAAAGCAUUUGCCAAGGAUGUUUUCAUUGA
rnacentral:rRNA from 1 species